AUGGGAGAGAUGUUGGCUAAGGCUUGGGGAACUCAUCUUGGGAUUCCUUCACAUAUGGAUGUUUUUGCAGUUGAAGUUCCUAUAUACUAUAGACCACCUAGAGAUGGAGAAGUGGAGCUUGUAACGGGAUAUGCUCCGAUUUCUCAUCAAAUUUACAACAAAGUCGAGGAUUAUUACAAGUUUACGGAUGCUGUUAACCAACUCGUGGAUAAUGGGUUUGCAUGUGCUCUUCUUUCCCAUUGA